GACGAACGCUGGCGGCGCGCCUAACACAUGCAAGUCGAACGGAGUCACGAGGAGCUUGCUUUUCUUGACUUAGUGGCGAACGGGUGAGUAACGCGUGAGUAACCUGCCCUGGAGUGGGGGACAACAGUUGGAAACGACUGCUAAUACCGCAUAAGCCCACGGAUCCGCAUGGAUCUGCGGGAAAAGGAUUUAUUCGCUUCAGGAUGGACUCGCGUCCAAUUAGCUAGUUGGUGAGGUAACGGCCCACCAAGGCGACGAUUGGUAGCCGGACUGAGAGGUUGCACGGCCACAUUAGGACUGAGACACGGCCCAGACUCCUACGGGAGGCAGCAGUGGGGGAUAUUGCACAAUGGGGGAAACCCUGAUGCAGCGACGCCGCGUGGAGGAAGAAGGUUUUCGGAUUGUAAACUCCUGUCGUUAGGGACGAUAAUGACGGUACCUAACAAGAAAGCACCGGCUAACUACGUG
rnacentral:rRNA from 1 species